UACGGAGGAUCCAAGCGUUAUCCGGAAUCAUUGGGUUUAAAGGGUCCGUAGGCGGGUUUAUAAGUCAGUGGUGAAAGCCCAUCGCUCAACGAUGGAACGGCCAUUGAUACUGUAGAUUUUGAAUUAUUAGGAAGUAACUAGAAUAUGUAGUGUAGCGGUGAAAUGCUUAGAGAUUACAUGGAAUACCGAUUGCGAAGGCAGGUUACUACUAAUGGAUUGACGCUGAUGGACGAAAGCGUGGGUAGCGAACAGG
rnacentral:rRNA from 1 species